GAGUGAUUAUAAACUGCUUUACCCUGAGCGUUUUCGGCUUUUUCGAUUCACUACUUUUGUUGCAUAUCCAAAAGGUGUUCGCCUACUUGCCCAUCUUACCCAGCUAAAAUGUCUUGGCCAAGAGUUUGACGAAGUGUUUGCCAAAGAGUUUGUCUGGGAAACCUUAUUGAGUGAUAAUUUGGAUGAAACUUUAUUAUUGAGUGACAACAACACAUGUGAUGAGAAACCUCUCUGCAUUUGCAACAUAUGCUGUUAUGAUUACGAAGUAUGUGACGAAUUCAUCACUCAUCUCAAGUGUGAAGAGCACAGAAACCAGGUAAUUAAGGAAGCAGCAUGCAUCCUCAGCUUUUUUUUUUUAUCAUUUUUUUUCAUGUAAUCUGUGUGUGUGUGCAGUGGUCUGAAAUUGUGCACGACCGCAAGCUUAAAUAUUUUUGCCAAGUUUGCAAUUAUCCCGCCUAUAGCCACUAUAACCUCUUUCUCCAUAACCAAAGUGAAGCACAUAAUCGCAAGGUAAGCGCAGCUUGUGAUCAUUAUUAUACAUUUUAACAACUCUCUGUAUCACUAAAAUUUGAUCCCCAUUUUGGUUUGUUUUCAAGCUGGUUGAGAAACAGGCUCAAGAAGAGGAGGAUUGCCAGAGCAGGAAGACAAAUCCAGAAUUGGAUCUCUUCUACGAGAGAAACAAGGAGCAAUCUCUUUGAACCAAGGCAGCCUAAGGAAGAAGCAGCAGCUAGAGUGCGUGCAUCCCCAUGGGGUUUUUGUGUUAAAGAGUUUUACUAAAUAAUGGACUACUUAAUUAUUAUUAUUAUUAUGCUGAAUACUUUGUUCUUCUACCACUCAAAAUAUUUUCAAGUCUGGUUUGUUUUUCUUUUUUUUCAUUUUUAAUUAUUACAUGACAAGAUUUAUUCGUAUGUGAAACUUAAAACAAACUCACUUAGAAAGAAAUUUCAUUUCUAUCUUUGCACAUAUUUUUGUCUUUUAUUUUUGAUUUCUAGGAUUACUUUUUUUUUUUUUUUAUCUUUAUGAAAAUUAAUGUGUAUUAUCGUACACAACGUUUAUACAAAGAUAUUGUCCUAAUUAUGUUGGAUUCUGUCAGAAUAUUUUAUUCCCUUUCUCUAAACUAGGGCACGUGAAAAUCUUUGUUGUUGUAUUGAUCAUAAUCAAAUUAAUUUUACUUCUUUUUCAAUCAUUUUUCCUACACAUUUUUUUUAGAUAUUAGACUAAAAUAGUUGUACAUAUUUUGGAACCAUAGAGCGAAGAUGUAUAGGAGAUUAUAUCAGCUAGCCACAUCCAUGUCAAGGCGAUUCAGUGUCCGGACCGGCAUUGUCGAUUAAUCUCGUUUGGAGAGAUGGUAACUAAAUUCCUUGUAACUUUUUUUUUUUGAUCAAAAUUUCCUUGUAACUUUGCCCAUCUUAUUCACUAUACUAACGGUUCGGACCAUUAGCAGUAUAAUAUAUCUAAACAUUAACAUUAUCGAUGACAUAUAUUUUUCUUUUUAUUCAACUAUGUGAGCAGCAAAAAAAAUAUGCAAAAUACAACUAUUGACACUUUUGAAUCGCAACUAAGGGGACUGGUGAUAUGUGAGGAGAAUCAAGAGAUUAUUUGUAUAUAUGCUUUAAGUUUUUUCAUGUAAGUAACAACUAACAAGGAAGCAGUGUUUUCUCUUCAUUUUGGUUAUUCACUGGUGAGAGCAAUGACACUGGACAUUUUCUAUCUAAUUUACGUUCUCUAUUUGAUAACUAUUCAGAACCUACGGGGAUAUGGCAUGUGCUUAUUAUCUAUGAAUAUGAAUAGUACUUAUAUAGCUCAUUAUGCUCGACCGUGUGUGCAAUGUAGCUAUCUUCCAAUAUUAUUUUUGUUACGCCCCGACUGUCCACUGCUAAUGGGCCACCCACACCUGUUCACUCGGCCCGUGUGUUACAUUCCGUCCGAUGGGAAGUUCGUUAAUUUUUUCAAGGCCCAUAAGUCUUAUUUACUGACCAUGCAAUCACCACAUGACAUUUCCCUAUGUUUUGACCUCAUUUCACUACUCCAAUCCAGCACGCUUGACUCUGGAAUUCGAAACGGAUGUGUGACGAAAAAGAUAAGUCAACUUUGAUAACAAGAGAUAGUCAAAUCAAUUUUCUUAAGCCUUUUCCAUAUAUCAUAACUGGAGAUGUUACAAUUCACCUUCUCUCAAAAAACGCAACGCUCUCGUUGCGUCCCACGACAGGUCUCAAGACGUCUUUCGGGUCAGAACCGAGAUGGCUAACCAGCUCUUACCACUUGUAACACCCCGACCGUCUACGGUUAAUGGACCACCCACGUCCGCUCACUCGGCAUGUGGGCCCCAUCCCGUCCGACGGGGGAUGCGUUAACUUAUCCAAGGCCCAAAAGUCUUAUUUACUGACCAUGCAAUCACCAUCCGAUCUUUCUCCAUGUUUUGGCCUCACUCGCAUGGUCUCGCGAAUCACUUCCCGAUAUAUCACCCAUCCUUUCACUACGCCAGCCCAAGCACGAUUAACUCUAGAGUUCUAAACGGAUGUGUGACGGAAAAGAUAAGUCAACUUUGGUAACAUACAUAGCCAAAUCAAUUAUCUUAAGCAUUUAUAAUAUAUCACAACUCGGGAUGUUACAAUUUUACUUUUUUCUCUUUUUCAUCAGAUUUAAUAUAUGUUGCGUUUUAUAUAAGAACAAUUUCAAAAAAGAUAUAUAGUUAAAUAUCAAUGAUAAAUGAUGAAAAUCUGUUGACAAGUGGAUGAACCACUUUUUCUUUGACAUCUUUCUGUAUGAACAAAAGUUUAGAGAUGAUAAUUACAUUAUUUUCAGGAUGUGAUAGAUCUUUUUAAAAAAAUCUAUUUUAUUCUAAGUUUCAAGAAUAAAGUAACUAAAUUUUGAAAAGAAAUUAAAAAUUUUAAUCCUAUUUUUAGGUUUAAUAUCAAAUUUAGUUUGUUUUAUGAAAAUUAAAUAUAACUUAUUUCUUUUUCAAUUAAAAUUAAGAUUUUUUAAAAAAUUUUAAUCUAUAAUUUAGUUAAUUUCAUCAUGAAAAUUAAAAUAAAAUUAGAAAAUUUUAAGAUUUGUUUUUCAAUUUUUCAAUUUUGAAUUUCUUUUAAAAUUUAUUAAGAUUCUUGAUUAGAGUGAAUACAGUUGGGUAUGAGCAUGGUUUUGAAAUUUUGUGUAUUUAAAAAGAAUAAAAUAAUUAUUCUUUAUUUUAAAUUGGGUAUUUAAAAAGUUCGGAUAUUUAAAAAAUUCAUAAAAGUUAAUCUGGAUAUUUAUAUGGAAUCUUCUUGCUUAUAUCAUAAGUUACUUGUUUAGUAUAUAAUAUAUGUUAUAAUUUAUAUAUAAUAAAUAUACAGCAGAUAAUUAAUAGUGACUAUUUAUAUAUUGAUUUUAAUAUAUCCACAAUUACCAUAUACAAUUUAAUUUUACAACAGUACAAUGAUAAAAUCUGUAUUGCCUUUGAACCAGUCACCCCUAUAUUACUUAUGACCCCUGGUGGAUCUAGGUGGAACAAGAAGGGUGCAACCGCCCCCAGUAAAAAUUACAACUAAAAUUAAAUACAUCAGAAUUUUUAUAUAUCUUGCAAUCUAGUUGGUUAAAUUCUUUUAUUUGCAUCCACUAAACCAAUGUUAGAACAACACUAUAUCUUUUUCACUAUUUUUGCCUCCAUUCAUUAUAUUUUCUAGAUCCGCUACUGCUUAUGACCUGGUGGAUAAGAGAUGGAUUAAGAAAAUAACAAUUUUAGUAACCUUAUCUAAAUUUAAUUUAUUAAAAUUUAAUAAUAUUAUUAAAUACAAAUUACUGCUAAAAUCUACAAGCUUUUGGACAUAUUAAGCCUUCUCAGAACUAUAUAAAUACUAUUAUAAACGCAACUGGAAAUGAAUAAGUGAAGAAAAACAUUGUAGAAAUAAGGUGAAAACUAAAGAAAAAAAUGGGGAGAGUGAAAAUACAGAUGAGAAAAAUAGUGGAUAGACAACAAAGAAAUAUUGCAUUUGCCAAAAGAAAAAGCGGGCUUCUGAAAAAAGCUUAUGAACUCUUUAUUCUCUGUGAUGUUCAAAUGGUUCUCAUUUUCUUCUCACCUUCUGGUAAACUUUUCCUGUUUGAUACGAAAACAAGGUAUUGUUUCCUUGUCAAAACUUUGUUUAAAUCUCAUUUAUAAUCUUGUAAUUCUUAUAUUUACUAUUUCAUCAAAAGUGGGUUUUUGAUAUCAAAUCAUCGGUAUUCUUUUAAUUUUUCUUCCGUAUCAAUUUUAAUAUGUUGUUAAAUAUAUAAUAGGAUGGAAGAGACUAUAAAGAAGUAUGUGGAUGUGCCUAUACGUCCAAGGUAAAUUUGUUGUGUUAAUGCAUGAAGGAACUUACAACAAUAGCCAGUUUUAUUAUGCUAACUUAAUAAACAUCUAUAUGUGCAUGGCCUAUUGGAAUUGUAACUGGUCGGUUCAACUAACAGACUCCAAGUCCAAGAGGAAGCGGUAAGUAUCCUCAUAAUAACCAAGCCAAUUACAUAAUUAUUUUGGACAUUAAAAUAUCCUUAUCAUUAUAUCUAAUUUGGAUCUUUUUCUUAUUGAUAUGGGGAUAUAGUUUAUACGACGGUGGAUAGAUAUCAUGCGUAUAGAAUCACAAUAUCCUGAAUCGAUCGUGAGGUUAUAAUGAAUUCACUUUAAAUCGAUUCUAUUGAAAUUAUAUAAUUCUUUGCUUUAUACUUCACUUAUAUUGUAGUAUUUUAUGACAAGUACUAUGUUUAAUUCUAUUUUAAUAGGCCCAGAGAAAAUUUUGGCGAUGGGAUUCUUUCUCAAGCUCGAUCAAAGGUAUGUGGAUAGACGUUUUUCUAAUUAUUUGGAAUUACUUUAUAUAUAGGAAUCCACUUUAUGCAUGGUUUUAUUUAAUUCGUUUAUAGUUUAACCAUUCAAUUCUCUCUAAACAGGAGAUAGAAGACGAAAUCUCCAAAUGCAAAGCCGAAAUGGCGAAAGUGGAACAACAGUUAGGGUAUUCAUCUUAUUGUAUACAUAUGAUUAGUACAUAUUUUAAAAACAUACCGGUAUCGUUCAUUUGUAUAUCUUUAAUGCUAUUUAUUCUAUUUUAUUUUCAAAUUAAGGUACUUUUUAAAACAUCCAAAUCAGUGGACAACAAGAGAUGACAUUGAGUAUCAAGAGAAAAUACUCGAGGAGACGUUGGAUAAAGUUCGAUCUCGGAAGGUAAAUUGAUGAUAAUACAAAAAUGGGUCUUAAACUUAAGUUUUAGUAACAUUGUUAAGCAAAAAAAAAAANNNNNNNNNNNNNNNNNNNNNNNNNNNNNNNNNNNNNNNNNNNNNNNNNNNNNNNNNNNNNNNNNNNNNNNNNNNNNNNNNNNNNNNNNNNNNNNNNNNNCAACCUAGUUGUCCGCUGCAUCACUACUCCAUGCAAUGCAAGUAAAGGCAAUCACGCUUCUAUUAUUUAGUAUCAUUUAGUAUACUUUUCCUAAGAAAACCAUGUCCUUUUUCUAUUCCACAAAACAUGAUAAAUAAUUUCACUAUGUAUGCCUUAAACGGUUUCUGUUAAAAAUAAAGUAAAUACGAACUUUAAGAAUAUGCAAUGGAAUAAUUCAUUUACAUUAUUUUAAUUUGAUUGUUUCAAAGAAAGGAAAAUAAGAAAACAAAGAUGUUAAGCUCAGUAACUUGUUCUUCACAAUUUUCAAGCUGUCUCCUAGCUCGAGGUUGAAAAUUGUAGAGAUUGCCAAUCAUUUCCAGUGACACAUUCCAUGAUAGCAUCUUUUUUUUUUUAUCAUAUACAGAUAUACUAUAUAUAUACAUAUAUAUUAAUCGUGCCUGUAUCAAGAUAACAAUUUCCCAUUAACUAUAAUUUGAUAAUUUUGAUCGGGUCAUUUGGUUAUUAAAGAUUUACCCCCUAUGUUUAGAAAUAUUUUUCACUUAUUAAAAAAAUAUAUUAGAUUUUAGUUACCAAUACAUUAUUUUCUGUAAUUAGCUAUUCUCCAUAACUUUUAACCAAUAGAAUUUUAAUAAACACAAUUAUGUUUUUUGAAAUUUACAAUUUGUAAUUAAUUUAUGUAGUGAAAAUGUAUUUUUUGAAACAAUUUUUUUUCUAAAACACAUUUCCUCCGUUUUAUUUUAGUUGUUGUUUUUAAGUUUAUGCACAAAGAUUAAUAAAACAUAUGAUUUUAUAUAUUUCCACACCUAACUAUAUUUCAACCAAUAUAAAAAUAAGUAGAAAAUUUUAUUAAUAAGUUUUACAUUGAAAUUCUAAAACAAUAUUUAUUUUGAAAUAAAUUUUUUUCUCUAUAACGAUAAUUAAAUAGAAAUGGAAGGAGUAUAUCUUUCGGUAACAGAAAGAGUGCGAUUUAUUUAUAUAUUUUACGCAUAACAAGCAAAUGGUUGAAUCGUCUUCCUCGAAUAUAUGCUUUUACAAAAAAAAAACAAGUAAUCACUGCAGACAAGAGGAAGGAGCAGAUCGGAACGCAACAAAACAAAAAAUACAAUUCUUAUUUAUACUUGUGGAAGGUCAUUUGUUAAUAUAACAUUCAAUUUGGAUAUAGAGAUUAAGCAAGUCAGUCCAUAAUUGGUAUUAUUUGUAUCCACCAAAGCUUUGGCUAUGAUUAAGGGAUGUGUGCAGAACAGUAUUAAAAGCAGAACGGACGUAAUUACAUGAAAUCACCAUUCAUCACAUCACUUUUGUGGAUUAGUAAACAGUAGUGGAGUCAUCUGCUCUACAGCUCUAUAAGUGGAAUCGCAAGUUUUGCAAUAUGCAACAUUUAAUAUUGCUUUAAAGCAAAAUAAAAAAAACAUUUAAUAUUUGCAAAAUCACUUUUGAAGGUGACAAUAGUCUGGUCCGUAACUUGAUCUAAAACAAAGAAACUUUAACCUACAGAACUGGAUCCGUGAAAUCAGAAUAACCUACAAAAGAAAGAAAAAUUAUAUUUUGUUGUUUAUUUUUAUGUUUGUCCUGUAUUUUAACAAUCUCCACGAGGAUUACUCAGUUUCAGGUUACCGUAAAAAAAAAUAGCAUUGUUCUACAGUUCUACUAGAGGCCCGAUCGAAAAAAGAAGAAGAAGAUAGGCAUGUUAAUUUUAUCCUAUUACAUUAUAUAUUAGAUAUACUACAGCCAAAAAAUAACUAGAUAUAUAUCAUAUAAUGUCUUGUUAAAAAUAAUAUUUAUAAAAUAUUUAUUUAAGGAAAAUAUAUUUAAAAUGAAGCUUAUGAUUUUGCAUUGACAAAUGUUUUGAAUUAAAAUAACACAAAUGGAUGUAAAUAUACUAAAACGACCAAAAUGGGAGGACUCGUGCGUCUUCUAGUGUUUGAUACUUAUAGUAUUUAUUUCUAUACAAAUCGAAUUAUCAUGUGCCAUGUGGUCGAGAGAACAAAGAGUAACACGAAAGGGAAUCUUUUUUCCUGUAAAGUGUAUUUUUCAAUAAUAUUGAUCACGUUAUUGUAUCUCUGGUCUAUUGCCAUGAUUACAUGUUUCUCAACUCUUCAUGGUUUAGUUUCACUUUUCCUCGGAAGUUACUCGUGCUAUAGAGAAAGUAUGAGUAUCCAAUGUAACAAAGAUUCCAAGAAAAAUCUAACUUAUACUGGAUUAAAAAAAAACAAUUCAAACCAUAUUUGCUGCAAAAUUAUAAAAUACAAAACUUUGUUUAUGGAGAAGGAAAAUAACAAAGUUAAAACUUUGUUUGCAGAUAAAUCUUCACUUUGGAGAGCAUCGUCAAAUUCACUUCUCUUGAUGCCUUAUGUAAUAAUAUAUAUGGCUUUCGGAAAAUUUGUCUACUGAUGUUGGUUUUCUUUGGUUAUUCCAAAUUUGUAUAAUGAGUUUUUUAUCUUUAAGAUCAAUAAAAUUCUAAUUUUGUCGGAAUUUCUUUUUACAAAAAACUACUUAUGAUACGUGGAUAUAUUUUGGUUGUAAAACUACAAAAGCAAACUGAAUCCAAGUAAAAAAAAAAACCAUAACAAACAAAAUUUUCGAUAAAGAUGUAUGCAGGGCUUUUAAUAUAUCUCACUGUAAUAUAAUGGGCUUUUAAAUGGGCUUUAAAGACCCAAAACAUUACACUAAAAACCUUCGAUCCAGCAAAGAAUCUCCCCGCCACGGUAUCGCGAAAAUCUACACCACCUUAUCCAAUGGGAACACAGACUCACUCCUCUCCUCUUCACCAUUUCCUUUCUCCCACCGCUGCAAUCAAAAUCGCGCCUUGCGCGACCCAAGUUUCUACAACUCAAUGGAGCUUUGUUCUUCAUCUUCUUCUCUCCUCCGCGUCUCACCCGAAAAACUCUCCUUCUCUUCCUCAAUCUCAAUCUCUCAGUUCCAGCUAAAGCCCUCGACUUUCGCCAAACCCAGACUCCGAAUCCACGCCUCCCUCGCUUCCGAGACUCAGGGCCUCCCACGAGACAGCCCUCAGCGUCUCCUCAAGGAGCUCGCCCAGCGCAAACAAUCCACCACCACUCCCUCCAAGAAGAAACUCCCUCCCAAACGCUUCAUCCUAAGGCCACCACUAGACGACAAAAAGCUAGCAGAGAGGUUCCUCAACAGCCCGCAGCUCUCUCUAAAGUCCUUCCCUUUACUCAGCUCCUGCCUCCCUCCUUCGAACCUCAACUCCUCCGACAGAACAUGGAUCGACGAGUACCUCCUCGAAGCCAAACAAGCUUUAGGCUACUCCCUCGAACCUUCCUCGACCCUAAGCGACGAGAAUCCUGCGAAGCAUUUCGACACGUUGCUCUAUUUAGCGUUUCAGCAUCCGUCGUGUGACAGGGCACGUGCGAGGCACGUGAAGAACGGGCACUCGAGGCUUUGGUUUUUGGGGCAGUAUGUGAUUGAGCUUGCGGUUACUGAGUUUUUCUUGCAGAGGUAUCCGAGGGAGCCUCCGGGGCCUAUGAGGGAGAGAGUGUUUGCCUUGAUUGGGAAGAGGUUUCUUCCGAGGUGGAUCAAAGCGGCUAACUUGCAGAAUCUUGUCUUUCCUUAUGAUGAUAUUGAUAAGUUGCUUAGGAAAGAUCGUGAGCCAGUGGUUAAGUAAGUUUCCUCUCUUGUUGAAGUUGCUUUGACCUGAGAGUUGAAUCUUUAGUCAAGAGUUUGAGUUUUUUAUCUGCUUUUGUUGUGACAUGAAGUGACUGUUGUCUGGUUCUCUUCAAAAGUUUGUUUAGGGAAUUAUCUUUAAUGUUUAGACAUGCCUAAGUUUUAUCAUACUCUCUCCUCUGUAUGUAACUUGGUUGCUAAGAUCAGCUAAGAUCACCUUUUUGUUGCCAAGAGCUUUUAGCUGAUUUGACUAUUUAUCUCUUAUGAUAAGUUCAAUAUAUCUGUUUGUCUGCUAUUAUUAGCAUAUAGUCGAAGUCUCGAAGAGUCUGUGCUUCCCAAUAUACUAAAGUGUUUCCUGUGAUGUGACAUACAUUUACUACUUAUCCAUAGUUUAGGUUGAUUUGAGCUGAGAAUUGGAUCUUAGUCAAGAAAUUGAGUUUGUUGUAGCAUGAACUGAUUGGUGUCUGAUUCUAUUCAACAACUUGAUUAGUGAAUUUACCUUUUAUGUUUAGUUGCUAAGAUCAUCGUUUGUUGCCAAGAGCUUUGAGCUGAUAUGAAUUUUAAUCUCUUUUGAUAUGUUCACUAUAUCUGCUUCCCAUUAUACUAUUUUGUAUGCCUGUGACAUAUACUUGCUACUUAUCCAUGUUUACUUUGUCUUGUUUUCACGCUAGAUCUGUGUUCUGGGCUUUGUUUGGUGCAAUCUAUCUAUGCUACGGGAUGCCGGAAGUGUACCGUGUGCUUUUCGAGGUGUUUGGGAUGGAUCCAGAUGCGGAUGAUUGCCAGCCUCGAGCUAGGAGACAGCUUGAGGAUGUAGAUUAUGUCUCUGUUGAGUUCGAAGGCAAGAAGCUAGGCUGGCAAGAUAUUGCUACUUACAAGGUAAAUGAAUCAAAAGCUAUAAAACACACUGUUUAAGUACUUAGACUGAUGAUGAUCACACUUUUGUUUGGUAAUGGUUUCUUCUAGCCUCCUGAAGAUGCUUUGUUCGCACACCCGAGGCUAUUCAGAGCUUGUGUUCCACCAGGAAUGCACCGUUUCAGAGGAAACAUUUGGGAUUUCGACAGCAAACCCAAAGUCAUGCAGGCCUUAGGUUACCCUUUACAGAUGAACGAUAGAAUCCAAGAGAUAACCGAAGCGAGAAACAUCGAGCUUGGACUCGGUUUACAGGUAAAGAGAUCAAUAAACUUUAUCACGCACUAUGUUAAACUUUCCUUCUUUUUAAUACUUUCACUUCCUUCAGCUCUGCUUCUUGCAUCCUUCAAAGCACAAGUUCGAACACCCUCGGUUCUGCUUCGAGCGAUUAGAAUACGUGGGGCAGAAGAUACAGGACAUAGCGAUGGCUGAGCGUUUGUUGAUGAAGCACCUGGACGCGCCUGGCAAGUGGCUGCAAGAGAAGCAUAGGCGUUUGUUGAUGAACAAGUUCUGCGGUCGGUAUCUGAGGGAGAAACGUCUUCACAACUUUAUAAUCUACUCGGAGGAGGUUCACGAUCGGUAUGAGCAUAACCGGAGACUUAGGAAUCCUGCGACGACAGCUGUUCAGCAAGCUAUUCACGGACUAGCGUAUACCGUCUAUGGAAAGCCUGAUGUUAGGAGGCUCAUGUUUGAGGUUUUCGACUUUGAGCAGAUUCAGCCUAAAGCUAUCGUCUGAAAAAGUCUAUUUUACGUGUAGCAUCUCCAUAUUUGGUAUAUGUUGGUGUAUUUAGAGAUACUUUAAAACAUUUGAUUUGACUAUUUACGUUUCUUUUUGAACUAGAGAGUUAAUCGUGUUUGAUCUGAAUCAAUUCAAAAAUGAAUAGUCUAAAAUUACGUGAUGAUUACAAGAUCAGAAAAUGAGAUGCAUUACAUUAAGCCUUUUGUUAUUUGUGUAGGGUGAGGGGAGCAAGCGAACCAAAAAUUCAAAUUCAGACAAUGGAGCUGCCAGGAGAAAUAAGCUAUAGGUGGUUUAACUCUCCUCUACAUUUUUAAACAGCCCAAGUCACUUAAUGGGCCUGUGGGCCUCAUGCAAGAAAGCUUUUCACAUAUCUAUAGCCCAAGAUAUUCAACCCUAAACGGUCACACAUCAGUUUUCCACCGUUGGAUGAAGACUCCAUCGGCGCCGUUCAAAUCAAAAUUAGAAAAAUCAGACCGUUGGGAGAGAAACCGCUCAUCUUCCUCAAGAAGCCUCCUUUAUAGAGGCCCCACUUUUAAUACUAAUCAUCGGAAGAAGAAGAAGAAGAAGAGAGAAAAUACUAACGAAAAUGAUGGCGUCUCGAUCGAUCGUUCCUCAGCAAACCACGGGUAAGACGAGUUCUGUUCUUGAAUUUCUUGUUAUAUCUAGUGAAUUAAUUUUUAAUUACCUGUGGUUGAUUUUGAUAAUUGAAUCUAAAAGAUGUGAACUUUGUUUUGUGUGAAGAAGGUGAUGUUGUUGUUAUAGUGGAAGACGAUGACAAGAACGCUGCGAAAGGAAGAAACCGUCAGGUUCUUCGUGAUAUAGGCAAUGUUGUUCGACGAAAUCACCCAAAGAACAACGACCCGGCUAAGACCAAUCAUCCUCGUACGCGGUCUCAACACGCCCCACUCGUUGAGGUAACACAUCUCAAAGUUUGUUCCUUUUUGUGUAGAUCUGAUAAUAAUAGCUCAUGUUAAUAUCGUUUUGGCAUUUGCAGCUUGUUAAACCUGUGGCGAGGAGAGUCGCUGUGGCGGUACCAAAGCCAAGGAAAAGAGCUGAGAAGCCAAAGGAUGUAGAGGUUAUAGAGAUAAGCUCAGACAGUGAUGAAGAACUUGGUUUAGUUGCUGUCCAGGAGAAGAAAGCCGCCGCAGCCGCUAAGAAGAAAACAACAGUCUCUUACACAUCUGUUCUCACCGCUAGAAGCAAGGUUAACAUUAGAGUAAUGAUUCUUUUCAUACGUUAAAUGUUUGGUCUGUUCUGAAAAUUUCUGUUUGCUAUUAUUCACAGGCUGCUUGUGGUUUAAAGAAGAAAGAAGAGAUUGUUGAUAUCGAUUCUGUUGAUGCUAAGAACGACCUUGCAGCUGUUGAAUAUGUGGAAGAUAUCUACAGCUUCUACAAGUCUGUUGAGGUUCGUACUUAACUUACUUACUAUACAUGAAUCUUUCCUUGUGACACUUGUAUUAAUGAUUCAACAUUGGCAGAGUGAAUGGCGUCCAACUGAUUACAUGAGGUCACAGCCUGAGAUUAACGAGAAGAUGAGACUGAUUCUCGUUGAAUGGUUGAUAGAUGUGUGCGUCAGAUUCGAGCUAAACCCUGAGACGUUUUACCUCACAGUUAACAUCAUGGAUCGGUUCUUGUCGGCUAAGCCUAUACCUAGAAAAGAGCUGCAGCUGGUUGGUCUCAGUGCUCUUCUCAUGUCAUCCAAAUACGAAGAGAUCUGGCCACCACAGGUGGAGGAUCUAGCUGACAUUGCAGACCACGCAUACAGUCACAAACAGAUUCUGGUGAUGGAGAAGACAAUACUGUCUACACUCGAGUGGUACUUGACGGUUCCGACACAUUACGUCUUCCUCGCACGUUUCAUCAAAGCUUCCAUUGCAGACCAACGAGUAAGAGAUCUUUUAUUACAGACUCUUCUUCCAUGGUUUUGUUAGUUUCUCAACUGGUUCUUGUUUUUAUGUCUUUCAGAUGGAGAAUAUGGUGCACUAUCUGGCUGAGUUAGGAGUAAUGCAUUACGACACGACCAUAAUGUUCAGCCCAUCACUGGUUGCUGCAGCUGCAAUCUACGCAGCGAGAUCAGCUCUUCACCAAGUUCCCGUUUGGACUAGCACUCUCAAGCAUCACACCGGCUAUUCUGAGACUCAGCUCAUGUGAGUGUGUAAAACAAAAGAUCCUUUCCAUUUUUCUCCAUCUUCAUCAAGCUGAUGAUUGUUUUACAAUGAUGAUACAGGGAUUGUGCGAAGCUAUUGGCGUUUCAGCAGUGGAAGCAGCAGCAGCAACAAGAAGAAGGGAGUGAGAGUAAGAAGGGAGCUUUACGAAAGAAGUACUCCAAGGAAGAAAGGUUCGGUGUGGCUAUGAUCCCCCCGGCCAAAUCUUUGUUGACCGGAACCGACUCUGCUUAGGAGUUUAUAAAGAAGAUGAAAUAAUCUACUACUAGAUAUGGCUUUUCAUUAGAUUUAAAGUUUUGUAUAAGUCUAAUGAGUUACUUUGAAAACAUAUAUUCUCUAUUGAAUGAAUCCAAAUGCUUCUUAUCAUCAUGAUUCGUAUCUUUUAGUUGCGUCUCAAGAACAAACGAGGAGUUAUAUAACUUAUAAAUAAACCGACCGGUCGAGAUUUGGUUCAAUUCUCUAUUCAAAGAACCUUUUGUUGCCGCUUCAGCAUUGGCAUCAAGGUUGGUGUUCGAGCUCAAUCUUUUCUUGACAUGUGUAUGCCACACAUUUUUUUAUCUCGUUGUCAGUUCGUUCUGGCAAUUUAGAAGCAAUCUUGGACCACCUGAAACCAAAAUGAAGGAAAGCUAUUGUCAGGACAGAAUCCAAACGUUGAGGCAAGACAAGCCACCAACAAGAUAACACAUACUUGCUUCCAAUGCUCUGGUGAAGUUUAACGAUGGUUUCUUCUUCCUCUACGCUGAAAUUUCCACGUUUCACAUCAGGUCUGAGAAGACGACAACUCAUGCCACACCUCAACAAUCCUUCAUUCAUUACAUGCAUACAUGGAUAGACAUAAGAUUACAGAACCAGAAGAUUUCAAAAAGCCUAAGGAAGACCAAGGCUUUAAGAUCAGAAACAUUACCAGCUUGGUUAGGGAGAGAUCUCCAGUUCUUAUGACCAUACUUUCUGAAUGAAAGAGAUGAGUUUCAGGUCUUCGUCGUAGCUCCAUGGUCCUCUCUUCACUUUGGUUUUGUCACAACAUGGCGCUCUUCCUUUGCCCAUUUUCUCUACUCUCUCUCACACACACUUUUGAGUUUCCUUUUACCAAAUCAAGUUGGUCCUAUGUGUAUUUAUACAAGAAAUUGGUGUGUGUUCCUGACUUUUAGAAAUAUGUUAUAAACAAAAGACAAUGACAAUGGUCAAAUCAGAUUUGUUUAAAUUAAUUACUAUCUAUAUUUGUGGUUGAAUGUCACAUGAUUCCUUCUUUCCUAAUUAUACACUUACCAUUUGUAUGUCAAAAUAAAUAGUAAUUAUGUUAUAAAAUAUUUUCCCACAUUGCAUUAUCAAUAUGUUUUGAAAUUUCAGUUGAGUCUCACAAUUCCUAGUCAAUCUAAAACAUCUUAAAAUGCCUAUGAUGAUAUAAUUGUGAUUAUGUCGUUCUAUAAAAAGAAUUGACUAUUAUUAGAGAUAAAUUUCUCUGAUACUUAUCUUUUGUUUUUUCAUGAUUACUAUUAGAGAUAAAAAUUGCUCUAAAGUUCAUUACUUUUCUUUAUGCCAAUGAAGGGAAGAAAUGCCAUUCUUUGAGGUUUGCUUGACUUGAAUGUGAAUUGUGAGACAUGUUCCUUCUACUCCCAACCCUUUUUCUACUUGGGUCAAGUUAACCAAGCCAACUUAACAUAACUAUCUUGGACAUUAAAAUAUAUUUAUCUUUAUAUCUAAUUUGGAUAUUUUUAUUUGUAUGGGGAUGUAGUUUAUACGACAGUAGAUAGAUAUCAUGCGUUUAGAAUCACAGUAUCCUGAAUCGAUCGGAAGGUUAAUAAAUUCACUUUCAAUUGAUUAUAUUUAAAGUGUAUAAUUGUUUGCUUUAUAUAUUAACUGUAGUAUUUUAUGACAAGUAAGUAUAUUCAAUUCGAUUUUUGUAGGUGCAUAGAAAAUUAUAUUUAAAGUAUAUAAUUGUUUGCUUGAUCAAAUGUAUGUCGAUAGACGUUUUUUUUAAUUAUUUGGAACUACUUUAUAUAAAGACAACUACUUUAUGCAUGAUUUUUGUUUAACCAUUCAAUUUUCUCUAAAUAGGAGAUCGACGAUAAAAUCUUCAAAUGGAAUGGCGAAUUGGCGAAAGUGGAACAACAAUAUUCAUCUUAUAUUGUACAUUACUAGUACAUUUUUAGAAACAUACCGAUAUCAGUCAACAAUAUACCAAGACUUGACUGAAAGAUUGGAGAAUGGAUGUUACAAAGGUAGAAAUCUUAUCCUGAUGUCUGGUGAUAGGUAAUUUCGCAGCAAAUUGGAGCUUUUGUCAACUUCAUUAAAUCGGGAUACUGUGGUUUACUUAACAGCCACGCUGCAUCUGUCAACAUAACUACAGUUUUCCUGGGAGCUCCGAUAUGGCAUUGUGUCCUAAAAACGGCAUCACAAAAAAAAAAAGAGAGAAAAAUGCCAAGAAGGAUAAGAAGAAUAUCAUUUUGGAAACCAGCGACGACGAAAUGUGAAGACGACCUGAACUAUUAUUACUAAUUUUAUAUUAUGUAGCUGAGACUUGUUGAGCGAUGAGGUAGUCAUAGAAAAUUGAGUAAUGGUUUCUUUGUUCUUGCAAUUCUAAAAAUCGGUCUAGGCGGCGCCUAGGCCCCCGCAUAGGCGGCAACUUGGUCUUAUCCGAAAUGAUUUUCUUAAAAUCUAAUUUAUACCGAUUUAUAUGAUUCAAAUUGCUUUAAACUGUUCUAAAUCAGUUAAAAUUGGUUAAAAUCGAUCUAAAAUUGUCUAUAUAUGUUAAAUUAAGCAAUAAUAUUUUUACAAAUGUACAAAUUUGUCUACUUUCUUCUGUUUUGUAUAUCUAAUUUUGAUAAUUUCAUCACAAUAAUUUUAUAAUUAAACUUAAAAACUAAAAUAUGUCAUACAAAUGUAUAAAAUAUAUAAAAUAAAUCAAUAAUUUGAUAACGCCUAGGCCUCGUCUAGGCCCCGAAUAAUCCGCCUAGUCGCUAGUCUUCUAUAAAGCGCCUAGUUACCGCCUAGCGAUUUUAGAACAUUAUGCAAAACAAUUAUAUUAUGGGCUAUAUAAACUUAUGGACCAACCAAAGAUUUUUUAUAUUAUCAUAAUAUGAUUUAUAAGCAAUUAAUUAACAAAAAUUCUUAAUCUAUACUAUAUUAAAAUUGAAACUAUAAGCCAAAUCGCCAAUCAUAUUAUGACAAAUUAUCAUGUUAAUUUGUUAUUUCUAAAAAUGUUUAUAUUACCAAAAAUCAUUUAUUUCAAAAUAAAAUGUAAAUCAAUGUCAAAUAUAAAAAACUUACAAAAGUAAAAAUUAUUUAGAAUCUACUAGAACUUUUUGUAACUCUCAUAAUGACGAUGAUUCUUUGUUAGCAUAAAGAUCGACUUCAUCUUCUUGAGAGUCUUGAUGGAGUCAAAUUUGUUUAAGGUUUGUUAGAAUGAAUCUGAACCAUUAAUGGAACUCCAUGUGUCAGGAUCUAAUCAAGAAGUAUUUUCCAUCAGCUCUCGUUUGUAACAUCCUCGUAAAUCCGUUGUAAUCUUGUAAAUAUUCAAACGUUCAUCCUCUUUGCUUAAAAUGUUGGAACCAGUAGAAGGCAUUAGGACAUGACUCUUUAAUUGGGAGAGGCGUAGUAUACUGGGCCGGGGCCCAUUUUAAAAAACAGCGAUGAUGAUUAGUGGGCUCGCACACGUGAGAGGAGACUUGACACGUGUGGGCAUUUUCACUCUUUUUUUCCCUCAAGGAUUUGAUUUCCACCACAGGAAGAAGCACCCCACCCCACCCUCUCUUCCCAAAAGUCUUCGCAGUUUUCACCACUCUUUGUAGUUCCCGUUUUACCCCGGGCAUCGGAGGCGGGCGCGCUCGUAGCUAAUGGAGACGGCGGCGGCAUCGGAGCGAGUCGAAUUGGCGAAGCACUGCAGCUCGCGGAACUGGUCUAAAGCGAUUAGAGUUCUCGAUUCGCUCCUUGCUAAGCAGUGCUCGAUUCUCGAUAUAUGGUUGGUGUUCGCUGAUCUUCAAUUCAAUUCAAUUCAGAUCGGUAUCAAUUUUGAUUCUCUAUUUCAAUUUCAGCAAUCGAGCUUUUUGUUAUAAUCAAUUGGAGCUUCACAAGCAUGUGAUUAAGGACUGUGACAAGGCACUUCAGCUCGACUCUUGUGCCAUUCAAGCUUAUCUACUCAAAGGUUAGCUCAGCUUUUGAUUACUCUGGGAUUGAGUAAGCUUUGAGAAUCAUUGGUUCUUCAUGUAUGUAGGACGAGCUCUUUUGGCUUUGGGGAGAAAACAGGAAGCUCUUCUUGUUUUGGAGCAAGGUUACAAUAUUGCUUUGCAGCAGACUUCAGAUGUGAAGCAGCUACUUGAAUUAGAUGAGCUACUUAAUGCUGCAAGGCCAGAGAUUGAUGUCACUCUGAACCAUCUUGCAGCUGAGACCCCUGUCUCCUCGUGUGCUACUCAGAAAAUUGAUAACUGCCAAGUAUCCACUAGUAUGGCAGUUUCUGAAUCAGGAGCAUGCAGCAACGGAAACACCCAUGAGUUGGGUGAGAAAUCAAUGGAUGCAUCCAAGCUAUCUGGUGGUGCCUCCGAGUUACGUAAUGGAUUAGCGUAUAAGGAAAAAGAGAAUGUAAAUUCUGGUAGCCAAAUCAACGGUAAACCAUCUAGUAAUGGUUCUGAAACUUCUGAUCGAUUAGGGGAUCUCUCGGUUAUUGGAAAUAAGUUAAGUAGCAAGUCCGGAUCUGUUAGCAAACAGAGCCUUACAGCUGAGGCACGUUCUGGAGGUAGCAAUGAAACCAAGAUAAAUAAUAACAAGUGCACCAUUGCGAGAAUAUCUGAAACCCACUCUAUAAGUGUGGAUUUUCGACUUUCCAGAGGCAUUGCACAGGUAUAGAGAUAGCAUUACAGAAAAAAAAAAUAUCUAUAUAUAUAAGAAAGUGUAUUUUACGUUGUAUCUUACUGGUGUUGAGGUAUUUAGCUUACAAACUCUUAAUCACUGGGCUCUUAGGUGAACGAAGGAAACUACAUGAAAGCUAUAUCUAUUUUUGAUAAGGUGAUUUUUCAUGUACUCCUCUUUUGGUGAUUUUUAUCUCUGGCGAGUGUCUUUUGCUUUUCGUUUCACUAGUUUACCUUGUUCUUAGAGGUUGUUUGGUAGAAAAGAAUGUAUCAGUUUUUUUACCAUUUUAGUUUAUCUUUGUGCACUGCGUAGGUUCUGAAAGAAGAACCUACUUACCCUGAGGCACUUAUAGGAAGAGGGACAGCUUAUGCAUUCCAACGAGACCUUGAAAAUGCUAUUGAUGAUUUUACUAAGGUAUUAUUCGUUUAUUUGACAAGAGUUUUUACCACAGUGGGUUAAGUUCACAGAUUCUUCUCCUAUUGGUCAGGCUAUUCAAUCGAACCCGGCGGCAGGUGAGGCUUGGAAGCGGAGAGGACAGGCGCGUGCUGCUCUUGGGGAAUUUGCUGAGGUUAGUGGUUCCACGUUUUCUCUGUUUCUGUUUUUAUUCAGAGCUAAAAGCAUAGACAUUAAAUGUAUUUGAUGGGCCUAUAUUCGCGCCUUCACAUUCAUUGAUUGAUAAAAAAUAUUUUCUGAUUGAUAUUCAAUCAUUUGGAUUAUCUCUAACUGAUGUCUGUUUUAAAGCCUAUUUAGUGCUUGCAUUUUAUGGGUAAAAAAUCAGAUACGUUUCCUGUACACACUCUUAAGCUACUCUUUGGUGAUAGGCGGUUGAAGAUUUGACUCGAGCACUGGAAUUGGAGCCAAAGUCACCUGAUAUUUUGCAUGAAAGGGGUAAGUGUCUUUAUGAUGUAUUUACUUUUAAAUCUUGCUACCUAUUUCAGUUUUGACAUCUUAAUAACUGCAUUCAGGUUUUAUUACCACUGACUUUCUCAAUUAAUUCAGGUAUUAUUAAUUUUAGAUCUAAGGACUUUACUGCUGCUGUAAAGGACUUAUCUAUAUGUCUGAAGCAAGAGAAAGAUAACAAGUCCGCAUAUACUUAUUUGGUAAGGCUAUCGUCUGUUGUUAUUCUUGGUCUCCGAAGUGACCAUGACCAAGUCUACAAAUGUUUUCUUAACAAAACUUUGCUGAUCUUUCCAGGGACUAGCUUUUGCAUCUCUUGGUGAAUAUACAAAAGCUGAAGAGGCGCAUUUGAAGUCUAUCCAGCUAGAUAGUAAUUAUCUUGAAGCAUGGCUACAUCUCGCCCAGGUAACAUGCAUAACUAGUUUAUAAUUAUGCGUUUUCUGUAGAAUCUUUAACUAUUUAGCUUGACUGUCAUGAAAUAGUAUUUUGUUAAUUGCUUAUUCUUUCUUUCUUUUUUCAAUCUGGGUUUUCAUGCAUAUGAUGAUAAAUAAACGAAGUUAGAUUUCUGUAAAGCUAACGAGACUUCACUGUACUUGAUGUUGUUUCUUGGCUUUUCUUGGCAGUUCUAUCAAGAGUUGGCUGACCACAACAAGGCUUUGGAAUGCAUUGAUCAAGUUCUACAAGUCGACAACAGGUAGCUCUUAAUUGGGAUGAACUAUCACAUGUUGCACACUAUUUUGGGUUCGCCAUCGUAGUCAUGGAGAUUUUCCUGUCUUGACCAGGGUCUGGAAGGCUUAUCAUUUGCGUGGAUUAGUGUUCCAUGGAUUAGGUGAACACAGGUAUGUAUCGCUAUUCGCUAGUUAGACUAAGAUUACUGGAAAGUGAAAAUUUGGUUAAAGGGGAAAAUAUACCUUUGUUAAUGUGCAUGUUACCCAACUCUCCCUACUUCGAGAUAUGAUGUCUAAUAAGAUUUUCUUCCCCUUGCUCGUGGUGUUAAAAUAUCUGCGUUUGAGCAACAGGAUGUUCUAACGGAAACUGAUAAUUUGGUGGUCAUAAUCACAUUGGAUUUAUCGACAAGGAUAGUCUUUAAAGCAGUAAUAUUAUUAACAUGUAGUUGUUUGUGGUAAUUUUAUUUUUUCAGGAAGGCUAUCCAAGAAUUAUCUAUUGGUUUGACCAUUGAGAGUUCAAUAGAAUGCUUGUACCUACGAGGUUCCUGCCAUCAUGCUGUAGGGGAGUAUAGAGAAGCGGUAAAUGAUUAAAUAUUUAUAUGUCAACAUUAUUGCUGCAGUUUAUAAGGAGACUCUCUUAUUAUUACUCGCAUAUCCUCACAGGUGAAGGACUACGAUGCUACAGUGGAUGUGGAACUUGAUGCUGUGGAGAAAUUUGUUCUUCAAUGCUUGGCAUUUUAUCAGGUUCCAAAAUAUGUUUUUCUUUGUUAAUAAUCCAGAGGUUGCCUUGAUUGAAAGCUUAAAUUGAAAUGUUAUGUGCAAAAUUACUGUCUUGGUACAUUCUCUUUGUAGCAAACCUGUAAUGAUAGGAUAUUGCGUUGCUACUUUCUAAUAGCAUGGCCUUAUUUAUCUGAUAAUACUGCUUCGUUGUUUCUUUGUACGUUAAUAUUGGAUGCUUCAUAUGUUGCAACGCUAAACAUUUCCUUCACAAUUAAUAGAUAUGUUAUCCUUUUUUUAUCCCGCAGAAAGAGCUCGCCUUGUAUACGGCUUCCAAAGUUAGUAGUGAGUUUUUCUGCUUUGAUAUUGAUGGUGACAUAGAUCCAAUGUUCAAGGUGAUAUAUCUCUGUCGAUAUUUCUGAUAUCUCCGUUAUGAGAUGACUAUGAGUGCUCUCAAGUGAUGUAUGUGAUUUUCUUUUCCUGUGGGUUUACAGGAGUACUGGUGCAAAAGAUUACACCCAAAAGAUGUAUGUGAAAAGGUUUACAGACAACCUCCCCUACGAGAAUCCCUUAAGAAGGGUAAACUGAAAAAGCAAGAUCUUGCAAUAACCAAACCUAAGGCGAAUCUUCUUCGUUUUACUGAUAUGAUUGGAAAGAAAAUCCAAUACUUUUGUCCUGGAUUCUUACCGAACAGACGCCAGGUAACUUGGAGUAGCUACCUCAACAUUCUCUUUUUUCUUGUCCCAGAAGGUCCCUGCUGCAUCUAUCUAUCUAUAUAUAUAUCCCCUCUAUACUCUAUUAUGCAUAUAAUUGUACGCCUAGCCUCUCCUGGCUAAACUAUCAUGGUUACGUCCCAUUAAUCAUUUGUGUUUCCAUGAUUUUCCAGCACCGUAUGGCGGGAUUAGCUGUGUUAGAAAUUGCUCAAAAGGUUUCAAAAGCUUGGCGCAUAGAGUGGAGGAAUUCAAACAAAGGCACGGCAAAAAAUGGGAAGAAAAACCGUAGGAGAGAGAGAAUCAACAUGCUUAGCCAGAAUAGAGGUGGUGCCGGAUGUAGUACGAGCACUUCCAGUGAAACUUCAACUGGAUAUGCCUCACUAGAAGAUCGAUCAUCUGGCCGCUCUAUCUUGUCUUGGCAAGACGUUUAUUCGUCUGCUGUCAGAUGGAGACAAAUUUCAGAGCCUUGUGACCCAGUUGUGUGGGUUAACAAACUAAGGUACAUGUUCCAUUUCGAUUGCUAUAUAAGUAGGUGUAUCUAAUGAUUCUUAGAACAGAAGCCUCUUGCCAUCUUUAAGUCUCUGAGCUUCAGUUUCUGAACUUAACUUUCAUUUGAUUAUUUAUGCAAUUUGCAGCGAAGAGUUUAAUUCUGGUUUUGGUUCUCAUACGCCAAUGGUACUCGGACAAGCUAAAGUAAUACGCUAUUUUCCAAAUUAUGAAAGGUACAAUGUUUACAUAGAACGUGAGCAUUUUUUCAUGUAUUCAUUCGUGGAUUUUUCUCUCUCCCAUGGAAUGAUCAAUUUCCAUAAUAUACUAUUGUAGAACCCUGAAUCUUGCAAAGACCAUCAUCAAGGAGAAGCUCUGUGUACGCAGCAAGGCAGAUAAAGUGAUUGAUCUAUCUAAAGAUGAGAAGAUAGAAGAAGUCAGUCUUUCUAUUCUUCGUGCGUGAAUGUGAAUGAGUCUCGUUUAUCAUAUUGUUAUCUUACUGAAAUUGGCCAAUGGGAUGCAGAUAAUGCGUGCAGAAACGUGUGAAGAGCUACACAAAAUUGUUGGUGAGGAUUUCUGGGUGGCUACUUGGUGCCACAGUACCGCAUUCGAAGGGUAAAAUUUGUUUGUUUAUUACUAUAAAACCACAAGUCUUCUCUUCACCGUUGCAGUUUUUUUUAACCUUGACUAUGCUUCCUCUUUUGGUUACUAUCUUCAGGAAACGCCUUGAAGGAACUAGAAUCACCUGCAUUAAGAAACCGUAAUCUAUCCUUCUACGCCAAUCAUUUUCACAUAAACCCUGAUUACCACUUUCUUCAAUUAAUAUCUCUUUGUUCUCUUAAUCCAGGGGAAGUCUUGGGUAUGAUUUUGCAAUUAGAACUCCAUGCACACCUGCGAGGUGGAGUGAUUUUGAUGAAGAAAUGACCUCAGCUUGGGAGGUAUAACACACCUAAGCAUUAUAGUUUACUUUUAUUUUCUUCAUUCCGAGAAAACAAACUUCAAAAAUCUCCAUAUGAAUCCCACAGGCUUUAUGCAAUGCCUACUGUGGAGAGAAUUACGGUUCUACCAACCUCCAGGCUCUAGAAACCGUGAGAGACGCUAUCUUGCGCAUGACAUACUACUGGUAAACUAAUCAAACUUAAAACAUAUGGUUACUGAUUGAUUACUCAGAACGUGUUGGGUGUUUGUCUUUGGCAGGUACAAUUUUAUGCCGUUAGCUCGAGGGACAGCGGUAACGGGAUUCGUAGUGUUACUAGGACUUCUGCUAGCUGCUAAUAUGGAGUUCACUGAGAGUAUCCCUAAAGGGUUACAGAUCGAUUGGGAAGCUAUACUUAGUGUUGAACCUGGUUCCUUUGUUGGUUCGGUUAAGUCUUGGUUAUACCCGUCUUUGAAAAUCAACACCUCGUGGAAAGAUCACCAGGAAGUUUCCUCGGCUUUUUCAACAACCGGAUCGGUUGUCGCGGCGCUUAGCACUUACAAUGAUUGAGUUUCACAAUCUUGUCUCUUCAUGUCGUAAGAGGUGAAGAAAGCUAACCAACCAGAAUGAGCAGCGAGAAAACUUGUGUUUCAGUCAUAAAUCUUCGGGUUUAUGAUAUGUUUGUGUCGUAGAAAACAAACAAACAAAAUUGAUAGGUGUUUUUUCUUUAUUUUACAUAACUCAUAUAACUUUAUUUUACAGUUUGAAUAAUGUAUCUCUAUAUUAUAUGAACUCUCUUUGCAAAUCACAAGUCCACAUGAGUGUGUUGCUUAUGAUUAGCGAGGCCUUGUACUAUUACUAGUCUAAAAUAAUGGCAUUCACCAUUAAUACCGUGAUUAGUAUGAAGCUUGUUUAUUCUGAAAUUAUAUUCCUGAUUGUUUUUUUUUGUUUUUGUUUUUGAAAAAGGGCUUACAAAUUUUUAAUUGUUUUUCAUCCCAAAUACUAGUUUGUUUAAGAUUUGAGUCAAAACCUGUAAGAAAGUCAACGGACGAGCCAUUCGGUUUGGGUGUUCUCCACCACCGACAGGGCCGCUCUCGAAGUUUCGGCUUGGGUCCAUUGUCUUUACUCUGGAACACUUUUGUAAUAAAAUAAUAUCAAUCUUAAUGCUUCUGUUUCAUAAAAAUACAUGUUUUAGAAAAACAAAACUAUUCCAAAAAAAAAAUAUAUAUAUAUUUAGUGCAUAUUUUAUUAAUUAAUUAUGAUUAAUUCCAGAUUUCAGAUUUCACAAAAUUUAAUUACACUUAUUAAAUAUUUAUUGGUUUAAAAUAAUAAAAAACCAUAAUCAUAAAAAUUCAUAUAUAUAUAAAUAAGAUUUAAUAUAUUUUAUUAAUAUGUGUGAGAAAAUUAAAAAUAUGUAUUUUUUGAAAUAAAUAGAGUACUAAAUUAGUCAUUGGAAAAAUGGUAAGAAGCAAAAUCUUAAUUCCUAAGCAAUACAUGUCUUCGUAGACAGUUGAUUCGGUUUCCAUUGCUGUAUGCAUAUUUAUUUCCAAUCUAUCGAUUACUCAAUGCUCAUGGGAUGAGGAUUUAAGGAAAAUAAGUUUUUGAAAAAUAUAAUGAAUGAAAGUGUUAGUUGUUAUAGAAGUCAUAAUGAGCUGUAAUUUUUUAAAAUAAUGCAAAGAAAUAAAUUUAGGAAAAAAAUAUUUUCUACCAACACAAAAAGGAAAAGAAAAUUUGAGAAAGAUAGACAAUGCCAAAAAUAUUAUAUUAGUAAUUGAAAGAAAUCUUGAUAUUACUGCUAGAGGAGAUGUAUGUGUGGUAUCAAUCAAUGAUUUGUCUUUCCCUCUAUACAUUUCAACCAAAUACAUUGUUUGUUUAAACAUUUUUAUUUUUGCAUUUUUCGUUGUUUUACUAGAUUAAAUUAUUUUAUUUUGCAUAAGAAUUUACAUAAUUUUUAUCAUGGACAUUAUAAUAGUUUUAUCACUGAUAAUAUUUCCACACUUGUCAUGAAAAUUAGACACUUAAUUUUUUUUUUUGAUAAAAAAAUAUCAGACAAUUAUAAUAGAAUAAAAUAACUGUAAAAAUAAAGCUAGUGAACCCUACAUAAAUAAAAUACAAAAAAGAUAAAGCUAUCGAACGGCAUUUACAGGAUAUAGGUCUACACUCAACGGCUACAUCUGUCGGUGAUAUUUUUCUGAUCAACGGUCCGAAUCUCUUUUCAUCGACUAUAUAUUAAACACAAACCAUUCUCUUUCACCAACACACAACACUAUUGAUCAAAAUCAUUUACUUUUACAUCCUUCACUCAUUUAUUUUUUAAGUUCUUUUCUUCUUUUUUUUAUUGAAAUACUAAAAGAAACAUGGAACGUAAUGUCCUCCUAACGGUUACAUUGAUCUGCAUUGUCGUCGCCGGUGUCGGUGGCCAAUCUCCGGCUUCCUCUCCGACUAAAUCUCCCGACGCUCCUUCUACUCCAACUACUUCUCCCUCCUCCCCACCCGUGGAAGCACCGAAAUCUCCAUCUCCUGUUACCUCGUCUCCGCCGCCAGCUUCUGUUCCCGAGAGCGCUCCUCCGUCACCUCCACCAAAGGCUUCAGCUCCGGUGAGAUCUCCACCGGCUUCAGUACCCGAAGCUGCUACACCUCCAGCUCCGGUAGCCGAUGCACCGGCUCCAAGCAAGGGUAAGAAGCAUCAAAACGCGACGGCUCCGGCUCCCGAACUUGACAGCCCACCUUCACCACCGAUGGAAGCUCCUGGUCCUAGCUCCGACGCCGUGUCUCCUGGUCCGGCCACAUCCGCCAACGAAAAGGUAAACUAGCAUAAUAUUAAAUCAACAAGUAUUGAAACAUGAAAACAUUCAUUCUCCUUUUAUUAGUUUAAAAAGAAAACAUUCAUUUCAACAUUCGUUGUAAUUAUGUUGUAUAUUAAUAUGGAAUUAUGAUUAAUGCAGAGUGGAGCCGAGAGCACAAGUGUAUUGCGGAAUUUAGCAGCGGUGGGAGCGGCUGCAACCGCCUGGGCCGUUCUCGUUAUGGCCUUUUAAAUUAUUUUAGUUAUCAUUUCGCUCCUUCAUUUGUAGCUUCUUUUUUUUGAACCAACGAUUGUCUUUUCGCGUUUGAGUGAUGAGUAUUAUUUAAUUGAUUAUUACAGUUUGUUUUCUUUAUUUUCAUUUGGCAGACAAAUUGAUUUUUCUUAUUUUGGCAGCCAAAUAGUCUUCUUUAGUGAUGGGUCCGAUUUCUUCAUCGAAAAUGACACAUUAAAAUUUGAUGCAGAACUAAUAUAUCAAACUGUGAAAUUGUUCUAAUGUUUAUUUCAACGUAUAUGAACAAUAAGCAAAUCAGCGUAACUGUUUUUAGAUGUUUAUAUUGCUGAGUGCAUUAACUAAUUUACUGAUACCACAUGUGGAUGCAAGACGUAUUAUGGAAGGCGUAGGUUCAUUUGCCUCCAAUAGAUUUAAAUUUUUUUUUUUUUGUAAAUUUCGGAUGAUUGAAGGGUCCGAUUCUCUGAAUGCCAAAUUGUCUCUACUCAAUUACGAUUCUUUCUAUCAAAUCCUUGUUUUUCCUUUUCUUUCAAAAUUCAAAUAUUUGUUUCCUAGCUAUCCUAAAAUAGCUACAUUGAACGCUACUAUAUGUCUCGUUUUCUAUAAAUAUCUAUAACUCAUUGAUGUAACAUAUUCUGUAUACGAUAACAUAUCUUAAAUUUUUAUGCUCCCAGUAAUAUAUAUUGUUAAUCUGUCAAUGCGAAUCAAAAUUAAUACAUGAUAUUUUCCUUGCUAAACUUUUGGUUAGUUUCUUCAAAUGACCAAAUUAUUAUACCAUUUGAUUGAAAGUACAAAGAGAGAGGAAGGGUGAGAAGUACACUUUAUUACCGUACUUUGAUUAAAAUUACAUUACUGCAUUUUGAAUAAUGAAAUACUAGGGUAAGACCCAGGAAUGAACAUUAUAUAUCAAAUAUUUUUAUGUAUUAUGUGAAAUAAUAAAUAUAUAUAUUAAAUAAUUAAAAAUUCAGUAACUAUUACGUAUAUAAUUAAAUUGGUGCAAGAACAUAAAUAAAUUUUUUUGAUCCAAACAAACACUUUUUCUAUUUGCUAUGAUAUAUAAUUAAAUUUAAAUAAUAUUAACAAAAAUAUAUAAUAUUUUUUAAAUAUUAAUAUCUAUUAAAUAAUAGUUUCUACUCAUAUUGAUUUUUGAUCAUUUGUAAGAGUGCUAAGAUUAAUAUAUACAUAUAUUUUAGCUACAUUAAGCAAUUUCAAAAUUAAAUUAUUUAUGUAUUCUUAUAUGGUAUGAUAGUUUAAUUUAAAUGAUAUUAAUAUAUUCAUAAAUAUAUGUAUACAUUAAUUUUAAUAUUUACAUAAAUAUAUGUAUAUAUUAAUCUUAAUAUUUAUUAAAUGAGAUCUUCUUGUAUCUUGUCAUAAUAAAAAUUUUAAACCAUAGAUCACAUAAAUUUUAAUAUGAUAUUUUUAACAGUUUUAGUAAUUUAUAGUCUUUUUAAAAAAAAAUCAAAAUAUAACAUAUAUGGAAAAUCUAAAUUUUUUUAUGGUUAAUGUUAUUGUUUAAUAUAUUUUAAUAAAUUAAAAAAAUUUAAAAAUAAUAAAGAAUACACUAAUUUUUAUCAAAUCUUUAUUAUUCAAAAUCAUUAAUUAUCAUAUAUAUUUUAGCUAUAUUAGCAAUUUUGUAAUUUUUUAUUUAAGGAAAGAAUAAAAAAUUAAUAAUUUAUUUAUGGUUAGUUUAGUAGAAUUUUAUUUUAUUGUGGAGAUUGACAUAUGGAUACCUCAAAUGUUGUAAAUACUUUUAUUUUUGUAUACAAGAGAUAUUCAUAGAGAAUAGUAGGUAAACUCAAUUUUCAAGCAAAGUUAUUCUAAAAGCUUAAAAAGUAUUUAAAGACGUUACAAAAGACUGUCCACACAAAUAAAAACGUUACAGACCAAAGAGAACAUCUUUUAAUGAAAAUGCCUUUGUUGUUGUUAAGUUUUCCAUGGGAAAAAGUUUAGUAGAAUAUGAACAAAAGCUUAAUCUUUCAGAUUAAGUAAAGUGUUAUAAUAAUUCUUGUAAUUAAUUAAUACAAACUAGAUAAAUAAUUUUGUUAGUGAGCUUAAAUCAAAGGCUAAAAAAAAGUUAUUUUUAUCAUCUUUAACUUUUAGAAAGCACAAGUUAUACUUAAACCAAGGUCUUGUGCAUGAGAUUUCGAGAUUCUUAGCUUUGCAAAAGACCUAAACCCACCAAGCCAAGCCACUGAUUCCUCCACAUCAAAUACAAAUAUGCAUGACAGUUCACUAUCAUAUUUCUUCUUUAGACUAUCUUCUAGACGAUAUGGGAGGUUCACUGGGCUUUCUCGGAAAAGGUUUUGUGUUUCUUAACCUAACAAUCAAUGAUUAACAUUAUAUAAGACCGUUUUAAUGGUAUUCCUUUUAUUUAUUAGAAAGAAAAAUAAGUUUUUCGGUAUUUUUUGGCAUAUAGGGGUACCACCGACGCAGAUGAUGAAUAUGGUUAUGGGUUCACUCUACAAACAAUUCACCAAGAAAGCUAUCAACAACUUUGACGACUUCCACGUUGCUGUUUUAGACAUCUUCAAGUAAGAAUCACUCGAUGGUUACAUUCCAUUUGAUCAGUUCUUCUUUAGAUAAGAUAUAUGAUCAACAAUAUAACUAUAUGUUUGAUGUGUAGCAACUUCAACUCGGCUUUACCAGGCCGACACUUUGAUCUCCCGACACCUGACGAAAUAAAGGCAAGAAUUGACCUUUUUAAUUCUCCACGUAAAAUUGUUAACGAAUGAAUGAAGCCCAAGUUAUCGCCAAUUUGUUUUAAAUUAGUCCAUAAGAAACUUUAAAUCAUUAUAACUAUUUUCUCUAAUACAAUGUUGAUUAAGUUAGGCAUGUUUCUUGGGGUGGAAGGAAGCUAAAGACGAGGAAGAGAAGAAGAAAGUGUUCACAGAGUUCAUUGCAAAGAAAGUGAAGCCAAGUAAACUCGAUGACGUCACUAUGAUCACCGGAAUAGCAUCUCCUCCGGCGGCUAUGGCGGCUAAGAGAGCAGGAGAGAAUAUUCCUCAACUAAAGUUCAUCAAACUUAUACCUGAUGUUAUAUUCGUCCCUACGGUCACCAUUUUGGCCAUUGUCUCUGCUAAACUCUCAAGAAGAAUGUAUUUAAAAUAAUGCUUUUAACUUAAACAUUCUUUAUUUUCCUAUUUUAACUUUCUAAGUUAGAAGCAAGCUCCAAAGUUGAUUUAUAACACCAUUAAAACGCUGCAAUUCUAUAUAACAUCUCUGUACUUUAAAGCUUAAGGAUGCCUAGAAGUCAACACAUAAAAUUAUUAAACCCAAGGUCAGUCUUGUUUUAUUGAAACUUCCCAAACCAUUUUAGGUUCUUUUUCUUGAUCCAGCAGAGCCUCAUGACCUUCGUUUCCCUCGCUUUCUCUGCCUGUUAGGACGCUUAUUAGGCCUAGAAGGCAUCGAAGCCCAAGAUUGCGUGGCUUUCUGUUACUUACCUGCUUAUUGAGUUUAUUGAAAAAAGGAUAUGAGAAACAAAAGGUGUAAUGGAGUUUUUUGUAAAGUUUUGCAGAAACUUACAAGGUCUUGAUGGACCUUCCCCAGCUGAAGCUUGUUCUGUCUUCUUACCGAGAACAAUGCCUUUCCCUUCUCUUUGCCUUGAAGCCAUCAUUUCAGACAAUAAUAUAUCUGUUGUCCCGUCAUCGUCUUCAAGUUCUUAUUCUUUUUAUCAUCAUUCAUCUCUACCUUGGACUCCAUACCCAAAAUCCCUAGAAAAUGAAAAAAAUCAGCAGAUACGCUUAUGCCCAAAUUUGGAAAGACACGAAACCCUAACCAAAGUUUGAAACUUAUUAUCGUAUGAUCAAACAAACCAAAUUAGAUGCAAAACAACAGAGAUUCUAAUGGAAAAUUAAUUACUAAUUGGAAUCUUCACCAAUUAAGCGGCGGACCGAAACGGAGAUGGAUUCAAAAACCGGCGGUGAGAAUCAUGACGGAGAAACCAUGCAUAUAAACCAAACGGUGGUUCAAGGUUUCCCAAAUCACAAGUGGGGUCCACUUCACUCCAGGUCUUUGACUUUUUCUGUUUUAUCUUUUUGACAAUUAAUUGUUGUUGUGUAUUAUACAAUAUAUUUGUCCUAAAAUUAUAUGUUUGGAUCCUGUCAGAAUAUUAUAUUCCCUUUCUCAAACUAGGGCACGUGAAAAAUCUCUUUCGCAAAUUUGACUGACCCCAUAGUUUAUUUCUUUCUUUCUUUCAAUCCAAAGUCCAAACCACCGCCUCGCCUGUAAAGGAUGAGUGCUCUGAACCGAACCUUGAGCUCAUCAAUGUCGUUGAAACUCAACACCCUCACCCCUUUCCCAAUUUUCGCGUUACCAAAUUCGAAACCAAGCGAGAUUCGAUUCUCCAACAGAUGGGGGCAGCGAAAAGUCGAACGAUCUCUCUCUCACUCUCUCGCUCUCUUGGAUCAUCAAAGCUGCACAAGAAGAAGGGAUCAAAUUCAUUGCGGAGGAGGAGGUCGGUAGUCUAUGGAUUCAAAUUUAUUUGUGAUUUUUUCCGUCGUUGUUGUCCCUAGAUUAGAUUUAAAAUGGUGGUUGUGUUUGGUUAGGUGAUCAUCAUCAUGUGGGAGUGUGGUGGGACCUGAACACCUGUCCUCUUCCGGCUGGUGUAGACCCUCGUUGUGUCCGUCCGUGUAUAGAAUCUGCGUUGGAAAAGCUGUUUGGUCGUCGUUCUGCAGUCAGCAUCUAUAUCUAUGCCAUAGGAAACCUAGAAUUCAUCUCUAGUGACCUCUUGCAAAACAUCUCUUCCUCCGGAAUCAUUCUUACUCAUGCCCCCUGCGGUAAAGUCAAUCAAAUCAAUCCUAAUCGAUUUGUUUUGUUUAGUCUAAUUAAUUAGAGAGAGUUAGUAGUCUCAUGAUCUGAUCUGGCCUCCUUCUCUACUCUUAGGUAUGCACGACUUACAUGAUUUUCUUGUCGACUGGUCUGAGGAUGAGCUUAAAAACCCACAUCCUCCUGGUUACGUAAUGAUCAUCUCGAGUGAUUAUAAACUGCUUUACCCUGAGCGUUUUCGGCUUUUUCGAUUCACUACUUUUGUUGCAUAUCCAAAAGGUGUUCGCCUACUUGCCCAUCUUACCCAGCUAAAAUGUCUUGGCCAAGAGUUUGACGAAGUGUUUGCCAAAGAGUUUGUCUGGGAAACCUUAUUGAGUGAUAAUUUGGAUGAAACUUUAUUAUUGAGUGACAACAACACAUGUGAUGAGAAACCUCUCUGCAUUUGCAACAUAUGCUCUUAUGAUUACGAAGUAUGUGACGAAUUCAUCACUCAUCUCAAGUGUGAAGAGCACAUAAACCAGGUAAUUAAGCAAGCAGCAUGCAUCCUCAGCUUUUUUUUUUUAUCAUUUUUUUUCAUGUAUCUGUGUGUGUGUGCAGUGGUCUGAAAUUGUGCACGACCGCAAGCUUAAAUAUUUUUGCCAAGUUUGCAAUUAUCCCGCCUAUAGCCACUAUAACCUCUUUCUCCAUAACCAAAGUGAAGCACAUAAUCGCAAGGUAAGCGCAGCUUGUGAUCAUUAUUAUACAUUUUAACAACUCUCUGUAUCACUAAAAUUUGAUCCCCAUUUUGGUUUGUUUUCAAGCUGGUUGAGAAACAGGCUCAAGAAGAGGAGGAUUGCCAGAGCAGGAAGACAAAUCCAGAAUUGGAUCUCUUCUACGAGAGAAACAAGGAGCAAUCUCUUUGAACCGAGGCAGCCUAAGGAAGAAGAAGAAGAAGAAGAAGAAGCUAGAGUGCGUGCAUCCCCAUGCGGUCUUUGUGUUAAAGAGUUUUACUAAAUAAUGGACUACUUAUUUAUUAUUAUUAUUAUGCUGAAUACUUUGUUCUUCUACCACUCAAAAUAUUUCCAAGUCUGGUUUGUUUUUCUUUUUCUUCAUUUUAAUUAUUACAUGACAAGAUAUAGACUUCUUUCAAGUGUCCUUAUUGCCCGACCGAUAUAAGACUCGACAAGGUGCAAGCAGUUAUACUUCUGACUGGAAGAUUGGAACUGAAAGUUCUGAUCGGUGUUGGAAUGUAUUGCUGCUGUGUUCUGUUUCGUCGAAGGUUUUCAUGUACAAAAAUCAUCAGGGAAGUUUUUGAUAAUUCGAACAUCUCCCCAUAAAAACGCGUUUGUGUUUGUUCCAACUUUCUAAAUAUAGAAAUUCUUUUACAUUUCCAAAAUUAGCUUACAAUAGUCUUUGCAUCAUCACUGUUCAGUUUGUAACUUUUCCUCUUGGCUUUAGGCGUUUCAAAUUUUCAUUUACCAAAUCCAAAAAGAAGUAGUCGAUUUGGUACGAAUGAGCAUAGUAGCUCAAUGUAUGUCACUAACGGAUCAGCUCCAAUACUUAAUAUCAAAUAAUCUGAUAAUUGAUCCAAUUUGCUGGCUAACCGGGUUAAGAUGAUAGAAACCAGAAACCAAACAAAGCAACCAAGAACUACAUCCAAAAAUCUGAAUCGAGUAUCAGAGAUUUAAAGAAUAAUCUCUCCAAGAGACGUUUUAAAAUACACACAAAACUGUGAGGGAUCAUGAAUCCAUGCCGACUUAUUGUUGGGUAAUAUUUGGAUAUUAGGGAUACCGCCAACGCAGAUGAUGAAUGUGGUAAUGGGUUCUACAAACAAUUCACCAAGAAAGCUAUCAACAACUUCGACGAUUUCCACGUUGCUGUUUUAGACAUCUUCAGGUAAGAAUCACUCGAUGUUUCCAUUUUAUCAUUCUUUCUUUAGAAAAACACAACCAUAUUUUGAUGUGUAGCAACUUCAACUCGGCUUUACCAGGCCGACACUUUGAUUUCCCCACCCCAGACGAAAUAAAGGCAAGAAGACAUUUUAAUUCCCCACUUAAACGACGGAAAAUUAUUAUAACUAUUUCCAAAAUUAUUAUAACUAUUUCUCUAACACAAUGUUGAUUAAGUUAGGCUUGUUUCACGAGGUGGAAGGAAGCGAAAGACGAAGAAGAGAAGAAGAAAGUGUUCACAGAGUUCAUUGCAAAGAAAGUGAAGCCAAGUAAACUCGAUGAUGUCACUAUGAUCACCGGAAUAACAUCUCCUCCGGCGGCUAUGGCGGCUAAGAGAGCAGGAGAGAAUGUUCCUCAGCUAAAAUUCAUCAAACUCAUACCUGAUGUUAUAUUCGUCCCUACGGUCACCAUUUUGGCCAUUGUAUCUGCCAAACUCUCGAGAAGAAUGUAUUUGAAAUAAACGCUUUUAACUUAAAAACAUUCUUUAUUAUUCUCCUAUUUAUCUUCCUAAAGGUUGAAGCAAUGCUCCAAAGUUGAUUUAUAACACCAUCAUGUAGUUUGAAUAUAGCAUUAAAACGCUGCAAUGCUAUAUAAUAUCUCUGUACUUAAGGGGUGCCUACAGUCAACACACUUUAAUUAUUAAACCCAAGAUCUUCUUGAAGUUUCCCAAACAAUUUUAGGAUCCUCUUCUUGAUCCACCAGAGCCUGACCUUCGUUUCCCUCGCUUUCUCUGCCUGUUAGGACGCUUAUUAGGCCUAGAAGGCAUGGAAGCAUUUGACUUUGGCUUCUCCUUUGAAACUCUACGUCUCUUUGUCUUAUUAGUCUUUUCCUUUACCUCCACGUCAAGAUUGCGUGGCUUUCUGUUCCUUACCUGCAUAUUGAGUUUAUCGAAGAAAAGGACAUAAAGAGGAAUGAAGUAACUAUGUAGUAGAAAAGUAACUCAUAAACAUAAAUAAAGCUACCUAAUCAAUAACAAAGAGGAAUGAAUCCAUUAUGAUAUAUAAAAAGGAUUCAUUCCCAAGCACGAUCAAGGAGGAGCUUACCUCACGAAGAAAGGUAGAGAAGCAGGAUCGUGUUACAAAAAAAAAAGGUAGAGAAGCAGGAUCAGUACUAGUACACAUGAUAGAGUCAGCUUCUUGACCAUUAGAAGCUGUUUGUUCAGUUUCAUCAUGUACAAGAGAAACAGUUCCACUAAAGGGGGAGCUAGAAGAGCAGAAGACAUCAUUGGUGUCAUCAUCAUCAUUGCAUUCUUCCGAGACUUCAAUCUCAAUCUUGUCAUCAACACUAGAGCAUUCCUAUAUAUCAACAACAACCUCUUCAUCAUCAUCUACACCACCACAACGAUCCUUCUUGAUUAUCGUCGUCAUCAUCAUCAUUCAUCUCUACCAUAUAACCAAACGGUGGUUCAAGGUUUUUUCUUAUCUUCCCAAAUCACAAGUAGGGUCCACUUUAGUCCAGGUCUUUGACUUUUUCUGUUUUAUCUUUUUGACAAUUAAUUGUUGUUGUGUAUUAUAUCGUACACAACACUUAUACAAGAUAUUUGUCCUAAAAUAAUAUGUUUGGAUUCUGUCAGAAUAUUAUAUUCCCUUUCUCAAACUAGGGCACGUGAAAAAUCUCUUUCGCAAAUUUGCUGACCCCAUAGUUUAAUUCUUUCUUUCAAUCCAAAGUCCAAACCACCGCCUCGCGCUGUAAAGGAUGAGUGCUCUGAACCGAACCUUGAGCUCAUCAAUCUCGUUGAAACUCAACACCCCUUUCCCAAUUUUCGCGUUACCAAAUUCGAAACCAAGCGAGAUUCGAUUCUCCAACAGAUGGGGGCAGCGAAAAGUCGAACGAUCUCUCUCCCACUCUCUCACUCUCUUGGAUCAUCAAAGUUGCACAAGAAGAAGGGAUCAUCAAAUUCGUUGCGGAGGAGGAGGUCGGUAGUCUAUGGAUGAUUUAAAUUUAUUUGUCCCUUAGCUAGAUUUUAAAUGGUUGUGUUGUGGUAGGAGGUGAUCUUCAUCAUGUGUUAGAAACGGCAGUGUGGUGGGACCUGAACACGUGUCCAGUUCCGGCUGGUGUAGACCCUCGUUGUGUCCGUGCGUGUAUAGAAUCUGCGUUGGAGAAGCAGAUUGGUCAUCGUUCUGCAGUCAGUAUCUAUGCCAUGGGAAACCUAGAAUACAUCUCUAGUGACCUCUUGCAAAACAUCUCUUCCUCUGGAAUCAUUCUUACUCACGCCCCCUUCGGUACGCUAAAAUCAAACCAAUCCUCGAUUUGUUUUGUUUUGUCUAAUUAAUUAGAGAGUUAGUCUCAUGAUCUUCUUCUCUACUCUUCUCUACUCUUAGGUGUGCACGACUUAUAUGAAUUUCUGGACGAAUGGUCUGAUGAUGAGCUUAAAAAAAAAACAUAUCCUCCGAAUUACAUAAUGAUGAUAUCGGGUGAUUAUGAUAUGCUUUAUCCUCAGCGUUUUCGGUGUUAUGGAUUCACUAAUUUUGUUGCAUAUCCCGAAAAUGUUCCCGUAGCUGCCCCUCUUGACGAGCUAUCACUGUUAGCUGAAGAGUUUGACAAAGUGUUUGCCAAAGAGUUUGUCUGGGAAACUUUAUUGAGUGAUAAUUUGGGUGAAACUUUAUUAUUGAGUGAUGAAAAACCUCUGUGCAUUUGCAACAUAUGCAAUGAUGUUUACCAAGUAUGUGACGAAUUCAUCACUCAUCUCAAGAGUGAAG
rnacentral:lncRNA from 1 species